AAUUAGUCUCGGGUACUCAGGAGGCUGAGGCAGGAGAAUUGCUUGAACCCGGGAGACAGGUUGGAGUGAGCUGAAAUUGCACCACUGCAUUCCAGCCUGGGCAAUAGAGCGAGACUCCCUGUCAAAAAAAAAAAAAGAAAGAAAUGACUUCUAGUUGAGAGAGGAGGCAUACAGCUUAAAGUCUGAGGAGAAAUGUUCUCCAGCCAGGAUCAGGCAUACUGGGAGUUCAGAAGUUCCCUUUACUGAAGCUGAGUAAUUUCAGGGGAAACCAAAAAAAGUUCCCUUCACUCGUAGUCCAAGGCAUAAACUGAGAUGGUGGGGGUGGCAUGGGGCAAGGAGGGGUCAAUCACCAGGCAUCCUGGAGAGAAGUUGGAGUUUAUUGGAAAGUUCUGGGUUCCUAUCCUGUAGCCUAACCAGAGAGUGUGGCCUAGGCCACAUUGACCCUGUACAGGAAAGGGGAGAGUUGAAGUGGGAUGUCUCUUCUCACAGGUCCAGCUGGUAGAACACUGAGUAGGACCCUAGGUCCCUAGACUUUCCACUUUGGUGUCUCUGGAGGUGGGUUGUGGAACAUAUAUUUUCACAAGUACCUGGGUGACUCCUGGGCACUGUAUAUUCAUCUCCUAGAAUAGGACCUGGUACCUCCUAGACACAUGGCUUUCUAGCUUUGGUUCCAGCUGCCCCGAGACUGCAGGCAGUCCAGAAGCAUGGGUUCCAGCUAACUAUUCUUUAGGAACUGUCCCUUCCCUUGGCUCCUUGCUCCAACCUUGUUCCUCCCCAGCUAUUUCUCUCUGCCAUCUCAUCUGGAAGGAUUGUGAAUCUAUAGGCCUCAGGCCCAGGUCCCCUAAUCUUUUUCUUGCCACUUUCCCCACGUGACCUCAUCCUCUCCAGUGGCUACUGCUCCCGUGGCUAGACCAUUGCCUUUCAACAUUCUCUUCUUCUGCGCCUCUUGUAACUGCCUGCCCCAGAUACCUCUGUCUGGAUGUCUAAUGCAGUAUAGCUGAAUCUGAACACAUCCACCUACCCCCAAAACCUGCUCCUCCUGUUGCUGACUUAGUCAAGAAUGCCACCUUCCCAUCUCAGGAUCUCACACACUAUACUCCCUGCCUGCUCACCCGCCAUCAGCUUAUUCUUUAACCAACUGCUUCUUGACUUCUUUUCAGUCUCAAUUUUUUUUUUUUCUCUGAGAGGGAGUCUCGCU
rnacentral:lncRNA from 1 species